rnacentral:rRNA from 1 species
GGGGAAUAUUGCACAAUGGGGGAAACCCUGAUGCAGCAACGCCGCGUGAAGGAUGAAGGUUUUCGGAUUGUAAACUUCUUUAGUCAGGGACGAAAAAAUGACGGUACCUGAAGAAUAAGCCACGGCUAACUACGUGCCAGCAGCCGCGGUAAUACGUAGGUGGCAAGCGUUGUCCGGAAUUACUGGGUGUAAAGGGCGUGUAGGCGGGAAUGUAAGUCAGAUGUGAAAUCCCAGGGCUUAACCCUGGAGCUGCAUCUGAAACUAUGUUUCUUGAGUGCCGGAGAGGAAAGCGGAAUUCCUAGUGUAGCGGUGAAAUGCGUAGAUAUUAGGAGGAACACCAGUGGCGAAGGCGGCUUUCUGGACGGUAACUGACGCUGAGGCGCGAAAGCGUGGGGAGCAAAC